ensembl:lncRNA
GGGGUGGAACAUGGUUUGAAUUUCUUAUAAAUGUGUGUGAUUUGUAUGGUUAUGGAGUGUGACAGUGUUUUUUCUUCUUGCCUUCCAGCUACCAACAGUUCAACAGAUGAAACCUGUCAUCACGCCUCGCUGGAUCAUUCCUACAGCUGCUCCUCCUGGCAACUUUACUAAUGGACUGCUCGACUUUGACCCCCCUGCUAAGGUCACCCCUCUACUCAAUGCAGAUGGGGGAGCUGCUCUCAUCCCAGCCCUCCCCCACCUUGCUCACACACAUAGCACCAUCUCCACCAGCGCUGUGGGUCAGCCACCAGCCUUGGAGAAUGGAGCCAAACCCAGAGGUCUCCUGACCACUGAGCUCUGAUGACGAAAUGAGCAGCCACCACCACACCAUUCAUUUCACUCACUGCUCUCCCACCUCAGCCCAUUACACUCUCAGUCAUCCACACACAAGCAAGCUGGGCCCUGUAAGCCUAACAAUGUGGAAAGCAGAAAGGAAAAGGCAGCUGACAAGUACCACAAUUCUAAGUGCAUCCAUGUUCAAGCAGAUUGAACAAAAUUAAUCAACCAUGCUGAGCCACGAUAUGACAUGAAGAUUAUUUUUUGUAAAACUGUUAAACAUUUAGUUCCAGUAGUGACAUCUUCAGUACUCUUACAAACCUUCCUGUUUGAGUGUCAGUGUUAGUAACCUGUCAUUUAUUUAAUCCAUCCAGUCAACCAAACCUCAGUGUAGCAGCCAACACCAUCGUCUUGUAGAUGACAAGUAAUGAAAGUGUUUGUUUGCUACAGGUCAAUUUGUGGCUCAUGCAUAAAAAUCCAACGUCUCAUGAAGUAUGUGCGGUGCGUUUCAUGAAAGCAUCCACCAUUGCUGUAUUACUUAACAAGCAGUGUUGCUGCCCCACCUGUUUUGGUCAUGAUGUUUUAUCACUGGCAAUGCAUAUCACUGGAUUCCUGCUACUCUGAGCUUUUCUGUACACUCACGUGUGAAGCUUCUGGAGUACAAUGGAAAGGACUGUAAAGACAAGUUGAUAAAGAGAGACAGUUAAAGAAAGGCCUUGACUUAAAAUGUUGAUUCUAAGAGAUAAACAACACCUGGACUGUGCAUGAUUUAUUGUGGAAAUGAUACUGUACUGUCCUGGUAGCACACUACAAACCUUUAUAAAUCUGGUCAGAUCUACAUGUGAAACUUGUUUUUUGUAGCCAGGUUAUUAAAACUGCACUGGAUUAUUUUUGCAACACUGGACCUUGUAAAAAUAUCUUUAUGAAGGAUGAUGACAAAGAUUACAGCUCUAAUUUUUCAACAGAUGUUUUUAUUGUCCCAGUCUUACUUAUUGGUCUGUUUUUAAUGUUUGUUUUUUUUUUUGUCCUUGGCAGUAAUUUUUACAUGUGCACAUGGCACCAUUAUCACGACAGACUAAACAUCACUGAUGAAAAGUAGUUCUGUGUCUCUGUUCAAACACUGUGCCCUUGCAGAAUCAUAGGUCAGAAUAUGAAGUUAUAUUUUGCUUUCACUUGCUGUGAAAGAAGUGGCACCUUGUGUAUCCACAUGAAUUUUAACUUCUUUUUCUUUUUUUUUUUAACAACUUAAAUGCCACAACUGUCAAUUGACUGGCUAGUUGCUGUUGACAAAAUCUGUGUCCAGUCUUUCUUAUCUAACAGGUAUCUGAAUUUAUUUUAGAAAGUACCUGACCCUCCACGUAUUAGCAUGUGGUAGCUACUACCCUGCCUUAUGUAAAAAUGAAUGUAUUCAAAGUUUCUCAUCCAAGAAUGCUGGAGAAGCCACAGUACAACUUGUUAGACAGUUGCUGAGCUAGUUUUUAACUGGAGGAAAACUUGUGAAAUAUUUUAAGUGGAAUUUGUACAUUCUUAAUUUUCUGAAUUAUUAAUCAAAAAUAUCACAUUGACUUUAAAAUGGUAGCAUUGUAGAUGUCACGCUUUUAGACUUUUUUAUCCUAUUCCCUGAAACAUCGUAAGUCUGGAGUGUCAGUCAAUUUAUGUCUGUAGUAUUUUUCAGUGUGAUGUUGAUUUCCUUAUUGUCUUAAACAAGGAACGCUGACUGUUUUACAAAGUCUUAGCAGUGAGUUAUUUCUGCUCCUACUCAGUGUAACUGUUCACAAAUGUCAUGUUGUCAAAAAGUAUUGGAGCAUACAGCAAUAAUGUGUUCACACUACAACGGCAUCAUCCGGCUGCAGAUUAGAAGUAGAUUUAUAUAUGUUUUUGAGAAGUAUGUUUGCAGUAUUGUUACUACAUACUGAGUCUCCAAUUUUAUAUAAACUUUUAUUUUUCUUCCUUGAGUACCUGAUACUAGUAAAGCUUUGCUGCAGUUGGAGUUAGUUGUUUUUUUGUUCUUUUUUUUUUUUGUUUUUUUUUUUUGAUCCAUUUAUUCUAAAAUGAUUUACCCCUCAGUGACUUACUGAAUUUAGGUACGACCAAAUAUUGUCUUGCUAUUUUACUGUGCACCAGAUAUGAUGUGGCCUUGUUAAAGCAGCUUUGAAAAGAUGGACCACUCAAAGGUAAAAUCAUCUCUUUUUGCAUUGCUAUUUAAAACCUCUCCUGUAUCACUGUACUGUCACAAUAAGUUUUAAAAGCAAUAAUGUAAAUGAGUUUACUUAUUAGUGUUGACAUUUGUUGUCUAAUGAAGAGCAUAACUGCCAUUUCAUGCCACUACAACCCUCAGAAGGUUUUAAUUUAAUCCUCGAUUGUGAAAGGUACUAUACUAAAAUAUGAAGAGGUGGGAAAACCCUUUCAAGAUGGCACAAGGCUCCAUGUUGCUCACUGCUGUAAAGAUUUAGUUUAGUUCAAGUUCCACCAAGCAGAUACCGUUGUUCCUGUGUGUGACUCAGUUUACCACUGGAUGGCAGUACAGCACCAUUUUCCUCCUUGGGGUUGAGAUGACAUCCUGCUGACUGCAUUAUAUUGGUCCUAACCUGAGUAGAGGUUUCUUUAGUUGUAACAUUGUUUAAUAUAGAAUAAUUUUUUUUAAUCUGAUAUAUAAUUAAAGCCUUCAAAACAGACCCAUCAUAGAUUUAAACCUAAGAUUCCAAUGUAUAUUGUUUUUUGACUAUACUUUGCCAUUUUUAUAAAUCAGUCUGAUACUUGUGGGCUGCAGAUUAGUGUCUUGUUUGUUGAGAAAAGUCCAUUAAUCAGAUUUAUUGUGAACAAUGUUUAUAUCGGACAUGGGUUUUUAGUGAGAGAAGAAUGGUCUUAGAGGAGUGUGCAGAAAUAAUGCUUAUCUCCCAGUUCUGUUCUUUCAAGUUACUUAAGCCACUUUUUUCAUAUUGACAAAUUAACUCUUCAGUUUCUUCAUUAACCAAAAACUAAACAAAAUAUACAAUCUGUACUGAACUGAAAGCACUCUGCUGGUAUUUGUGAAUUGUCAUAUUGCUUUAUAUUUGAAUGCAGUGACUCGAAAUUGAUUGACUGCAACUGUUCAAUCCAUAGUUGACCGUCAUUAAACAGCAGAACUGCCUACAGCUCAAUAACUCAGCCAGGACUGCUCCCCUCAGCAGAUGGGCUGACUUUCCUCCACCUUCCAAAUGAAUAAUUGAUUACGUACAUGGACCUUAUGCCAGGUCAUGAUUGCUUAAGCAUGCUCAAAGCUCUGGGUGGAUUCGUGGAGAUUUGGCGCUGGGCCGAUGCCCUGAUGUCACUAGCUCAGAACUACCUAACAGCAAAAAUACCAUGUCCUCUCUAAAAUUGAUUUAAAUCAUAAAUCAGAUUUUUUUUUGUGAAAAAUCUGUUUGUUUUUUAGGGCAUAUUGCCCAGCCCUAGAAGAUAUGAAACAGCAACAACAGAAAGGGG